rnacentral:rRNA from 1 species
GCCUACGGGGGGCAGCAGUGGGGAAUAUUGCGCAAUGGGCGAAAGCCUGACGCAGCGACGCCGCGUGAGGGAUGAAGGUCUUCGGAUCGUAAACCUCUGUCAGCAGGGAAGAACGGUCACUGUGCUAAUCAGCAGUGAAUUGACGGUACCUGCAAAGGAAGCACCGGCUAACUCCGUGCCAGCAGCCGCGGUAAUACGGAGGGUGCGAGCGUUAAUCGGAAUUACUGGGCGUAAAGCGCGCGUAGGCGGUAUGUCUAGUCAAGGGUGAAAUCCCCGCGCUCAACGUGGGAACUGCCUUUGAAACU